rnacentral:tRNA from 1 species
GGAGGUAUAACUCAAGUGGUAGAGGGCCUGCUUAGCAAGCACAAGGCCCUGAGCUCAAACCCCAGUACCACCA